CAUGAACAAGACACACGAAUAUAAAUACUCAAAACAAUUGUAGGCAAAGUUUAUUAAAUAUUCUGAGUUGAAGUAGUAAAUAUGAUCUUGCUUUCCAUUUUUCUGGGUCUUUUGACCUGCUUUGUGACUAUAGUUCAGUCUAACGAUUCAAGAAACCCCAAUUGUUACAUGGUUUUUGAUUCUGGACCAUGCUCACGAUAUAGAAUAGUGUGGGCCUUCUCGCAAUACGAUGAUGAGUGCGUGCAGGUCCUCUACUCUGGAUGUGGAGGAAAUAGAAACCGAUUUUCCACCAAGGCUCAAUGCGAACAUUUUUGCGCGCUUCAAUGAAAAUAAAUCAGUAAAACAUAUUUAAAGUCAGUUUGGUCCAAAUAACUUUCCGAAAUAUUUAUUUACACUUAAACUCAAAAUAGUUAUACAAAAUAAUGUUUUUAAGUGAUUUAUUUUUUGUAUUUCAUUUAGAUAAAUAUCAAUUUUUGUAUAGCUUAAAUGUUCGCAAUUAAAGCGCUUUCGAUUUGACCAAGUUUUGUUGGCGUCUGGCGAUUUUUUUGGUACAACUCGUAGCCGGCGCUCAGGAAUAAAAGAUGACCAGAACAAGCAGUGGAAAGCUUUUCUCCAUUUAAAGUGCCAAACACACACUCCCACAGGGGCGGAACGUGACAUUUAUCAAGGGCUGGGCAAAUAUUCGUUGCUUGCUGGCAAUUAAAUCAGGCCAACAGCAUUUGGCAGUAGCGAAAUGAAAGCUCGCCGGAAAAGAUUGCUCGUCGGGUACCUUUUUUUUACAACUUUUCUCUGGGCUUUAUUGUGCGCCGUUAGAGGCAUAAAUCACCGAUGAGGGGGCAAAAUGUGCAAGUUUACAGGUUGACUCGUCGCUCGUACGCAAAAAGCACAUUACCAGAAUGGCAAUCGCAAUCGCAACUGCAAAGGCAAUGCCAAUGCCAAUGGCCAAUAGCGAAAUCAAAGAAUAAAGUCACGCAAUUUCAAUUACAAAUAAACGCACCGACGGAGAAAUGGCCAAUGGGGGGAUCCUGAUGCUGACUACACACAUAUCCGUGGCCAUAGCUUAAGCAAUAAUAAUAAUAAUAAUGAAAUUGUGAUAAGCUGCGCGCCACAAAUUGCACGCGAGUGAGACGGAGAGACAAUAAUUUAAACCGUUAAGCGCAAGAUGAGGCAUCAAAUGCAGCCGCCCAGAGAUGGAAACGUGACACGACUGCGGAUAGAUAUAAUCGGUUUUAAGAUAUAUUGGUUUCAAAAUAUAUUGAUUUGUUAAACUUCAUUAAAUAAUUUUUCAGUUUUUAAGUUGUUAAAAUACAAAA